GCAUUGGUGGUUCAGUGGUAGAAUUCUCGCCUGCUACGCAGGAGGCCCGGGUUCAUUUCCCGGCCAAUGCG
rnacentral:tRNA from 1 species